rnacentral:rRNA from 1 species
CCCUUAGAUGUUCUGGGCAGCACGCGCGCUACAAUGGUCUUCGCAAACGGAUGCAUUCUCGAAGGAGAAUGCCAAUCUUGGAAUCUAUGCCUUGGUCGGGACAGUUGCUUGCAAUUUUUCGACUCGAACCAGGAAUUCCUUGUAAUCGUGAUUCAUCACAUCACGAUGAAUACGUCCCUGCCCUUUGUACACACCGCCCGUCGCUCCUACCGAUCGAAGAGUUAGGUGAAUUAUUUUGAUCGAUAAGAUUUGACUAUGGUCAACUCUCGUUGUGAAAUUCUGUGAAUCUGACUGUUUAGAGGAAGGAAAAGUCGUAACA